rnacentral:rRNA from 1 species
UACGUAGGGCGCAAGCGUUGUCCGGAAUUAUUGGGCGUAAAGAGCUCGUAGGCGGUUUGUCACGUCGGAUGUGAAAGCCCGGGGCUUAACCCCGGGUCUGCAUUCGAUACGGGCAGACUAGAGUGUGGUAGGGGAGAUCGGAAUUCCUGGUGUAGCGGUGAAAUGCGCAGAUAUCAGGAGGAACACCGGUGGCGAAGGCGGGUCUCUGGGCCAUUACUGACGCUGAGGAGCGAAAGCGUGGGGAGCGAACAGG